rnacentral:lncRNA from 1 species
UCUUAAGUGUUUCAUUUUGUCUUCACCUUGAAGUCUUUUCUGUGCACUUGCCCAAUACUAGGCCUCUUCUCGGGAUAAAUCCAGAGUGUGAGGAAAAUAAAGCGAAAGAAUUUAUGCACCAGGAGAUGGCAAUGGUGAUCUACAAUAGCAUCAAUCUAGCUGCGCAACAUUCAUAUUGUCUUCAGGCAAGCAAACAAGCCCAGUCUUCUAUGAGCGAAGCCUGGACACAUCGCUCCAUUUCUGCUCCUUAUCCUUGAGUUGUUCGGGUUAUUACUAAUCACUGUCAAGAGUUCUGCUUUAUUUUUUAUUGAAAUUACUGUUCGUGGUAGUAUUUUUUAACGAGCCGAUGUGUCUAAAUCAGAUCUUCUCUCCCAGUAUUGCAGAAGCUGUGAUGUCAUUUAAAAAAAAACACCAGAAGACAGAUACUAUUGAAUUAAACAUGCCAGUUGUCGAGGGAAGAAGAAAAAUCAAAUUAUCCUUGGAAGUCAGUGCCUGGAGGUGGAAGCUUCUGCUUUAGAUGCUGUUGUGAGCAGCAUUCUUCCAAAGCCUGCUCAGAGACUAUUGGCUCUCAAAAAGAGCAUGGUGUGUCUGUAUGUGUGUGUGUUCUGUGCUGGAACCGACUUACAGAGACCAUAAUACGGCUUUCCAGGUAAGUGAAAUGUUUAAGGAAUGGUUUUACUAGUUUCACUCUACCAGUCAGUUUUUAUGGCCAUACUGGGGAUUUGAACCCUGUUUUCCAGAGUCUUAUUCCACACUGUAUCCAUUACACCACACUGAGAAUCUAUUUAUUAUUUAUUUAUUCAACUUCUAUACCGCCCAUCUAGCUACCAAGGCCACCCUGAGCAGUGCACAACAUGAUUAAACAAAGUAAAACAAUCUAAAGUAAUAUGCGUUACUAAAUGACCUAAAUAAGUAUCUACUUCUGGCUGUUGUGACUAGUAAGAUGACUUCUCCU